GCGAGUGCAGCGGCCACCGCGCAAGUUUGAUAUCUGGCGCAAGCCCGAUUUGUAAUUUGCACAGGAUGCUUUUGGUGCGGUGCCUUCUGAGUUCCCUGGAACGGGACGCCGGAGAGGGUGAGAGCCCCGUACAGUUGGACACCAAGCCUUUGUAAAGCUCCUUCGACGAGUCGAGUAGUUUGGGAAUGCUGCUCAAAAUGGGAGGUAAAUGCCUUCUAAAGCUAAAUACCGGCCAGAGACCGAUAGCGCACAAGUAGAGUGAUCGAAAGAUGAAAAGCACUUUGAAAAGAGGGUUAAACAGUACGUGAAAUUGUUGAAAGGGAAGCGCUCGUGACCAGACUUGCGCCCGGCGGAUCAUCCGGCCUUCUGGCCGGUGCACUCCGCCGGGUUCAGGCCAGCAUCGGUUCUUCUGGGGGGACAAAAGCGAUAGGAACGUAGCUCUUCCGGGAGUGUUAUAGCCUGCCGCAGAAUACCCCCGGGGGGACCGAGGACCGCGCUUCGGCAAGGAUGCUGGCGUAAUGGUCACCAGCGACCCGUCUUGAAACACGGACCAAGGAGUCAAGCAUUAGGGCGAGUGUUUGGGUGUCAAACCCGCACGCGAAAUGAAAGUGAACGCAGGUGAGAGCUUCGGCGCAUCAUCGACCGAUCCUGAUGUAUUCGGAAGGAUUUGAGUAAGAGCCUUACCGCUUGGACCCGAAAGAUGGUGAACUAUGCUUGGAUAGGGUGAAGCCAGAGGAAACUCUGGUGGAGGCUCGCAGCGGUUCUGACGUGCAAAUCGAUCGUCAAAUCUGAGCAUGGGGGCGAAAGACUAAUCGAACCAUC
rnacentral:rRNA from 1 species